GUGAGAGGAGUUUGGUGAACCAGGGUUAGAGCCAAGGGCCUGUGCUGAGGACUUUUUUGGGCCAAGGUGUGGUCAGAACCGAGACGUGGCCCGGCCCCAGAACCACGGUCCUGUGAGGCCACACUUGCCCACGUGCCCGUUCCAGUGCAUUCAAUCCCAUGUAAAGCAGACCCC